rnacentral:rRNA from 1 species
AGUGAACGCUGGCGGUAGGCCUAACACAUGCAAGUCGAACGGCAGCACAGAGGAGCUUGCUCCUUGGGUGGCGAGUGGCGGACGGGUGAGGAAUACAUCGGAAUCUACUCUGUCGUGGGGGAUAACGUAGGGAAACUUACGCUAAUACCGCAUACGACCUACGGGUGAAAGCAGGGGACCUUCGGGCCUUGCGCGAUUGAAUGAGCCGAUGUCGGAUUAGCUAGUUGGCGGGGUAAAGGCCCACCAAGGCGACGAUCCGUAGCUGGUCUGAGAGGAUGAUCAGCCACACUGGAACUGAGACACGGUCCAGACUCCUACGGGAGGCAGCAGUGGGGAAUAUUGGACAAUGGGCGCAAGCCUGAUCCAGCCGUACCGCGUGGGUGAAGAAGGCCUUCGGGUUGUAAAGCCCUUUUGUUGGGAAAGAGAUCCAGCUGGCUAAUACCCGGUUGGGAUGACGGUACCCAAAGAAUAAGCACCGGCUAACUUCGUGCCAGCAGCCGCGGUAA